rnacentral:rRNA from 1 species
CCUACGGGAGGCAGCAGUGAGGAAUAUUGGUCAAUGGCCGGAAGGCUGACCAUCCAAGCCGCGUGAAGGACGAAGGUUCCCAGCAUUGUAAACUUCUUUUGUCAAGGGACAAAAUCAGGCUCGAGAGCCUGACCGAGGGUACUUUAAGAAAAAGCAUCGGCUAACUCCGUGCCAGCAGCCGCGGUAAUACGGAGGAUGCGAGCGUUAUCCGGAUUUAUUGGGUUAAAAGGGUGCGUAGGCGGACUGUUACGUCAGCGGUAAAAGCCCGGGGCUCAACCCCGGCGAGUCGUUGAAACUGGCUGUAUUGAGAUGUCGAGAGGUAUGCGGAAUGCGCAGUGUAGCGGUGAAAUGCUUAGAUAUUGCGCAGAACUCCGAUUGCGAAGGCAGCAUACCGGCGGCGAUCUGACGCUGAGGCACGAAAGCGUGGGUAUCGAACAGGAUUAGAUACCCCAGUAGUC